AUCGAAUUGAAACCGAAAUAAUGAAAAAUCAAACCAGAACCAUAUCGAAAUUUCAGUUUAGUUCUAGUUCUUGACAAAACUCUGAACUGAACAUAAACCAAACAUCCCUAUUUUUGGUAACACGAUAUUUAAUGGUAUCCGCUACUCAAUAUUUGAUCAAUAGCUGGAAUUUGCAGGAGGGAUGUCCAAAGUUGUUGCAGUUAAAAAGAACCAAAAACAAAAAAAGCUCCUAUGUGAUAUCUAAGCCGCUAGCCUUUUAUUUUUCACUUGCAAACCAUUAAACUUAAUAUUUUAUUCUUACUCUAGGAUUCAUGACAUUGUCUUCAUUCCAAUCUAUAUGGAACUUAUGUCUGCAUUAUUUAUUAAUUAUUAUUGAAAACUCCUAAACUACUACCUCCACAGGUUAGUUGCUGUUUUAUUUUGGGCUAAAAGUGAUUCUUCUACCCUAUUCUCUGCCAUGCAGGCUCCCUCAUGUGUCAAAAGCUAAAGCUGACCAAAAGAUGCAGCUCAGUGGCAAGAUUGAGAAUGUACCUUCAAUUCUCGGAAAUCCGACAGUUGUCCAGGUCUGUGAAUUUUUGGCCAGACAGACCGACUAACAAAAAGGUCUCCGAAUUGGAUCUAGAUUUUGGCUAUCCCACCAUUGUCAGAUGUCCCGUGCGCGUCCCCGGAGUCGGAAUCGGCAUAGGUAAACCCGAACCUUGCUUUAUCAUAAUUUUCUAGUGCUUAAAUGGGAUUAAAAAUCCAUAAAAUAUUCAUGGUAGCUCAGAAAAUUAUGAUUCUUUUUGUAUUAGCUUAGUAAUGUUGCUAAGGACCACGAGGCAAAGUUUUAGAAUUUUUAGAGCUUAUUUGGGUAGUUUUUGCAAAAAGGGUCAAUUAUAAGGACUAAACUGUAAUUUUUCACAUUGUGAUUGUUGAUUGUUGGAUGGGCCCAGGAGGGGCUAUGUGAUGUGAUUGAGUUGUGAAUGUGAGAUUUGUGGAUAUAGAAGUGUAUUUUAAACCCUUUUACAGGUUGAGUAGGUCAUAGGUAUAGGAGACACUCUGCCGGAUUUUCGGCAUGACUUAGGGUGUCUUUGAUCUUUUCUAAGCUUGUAUCGAGUCAAAUAUAUUAAAUAAUUGUAAUAAAAUUUUUCAUGUGAGCCGGGACAGCCUUUCUCUUCCGCCCAGCCGCCGCAGUGACCUCAGUUAAGUCUGUGAGUAAAAUAUUAAUU
rnacentral:misc_RNA from 1 species